rnacentral:rRNA from 1 species
UUUGGAAUUUAUUUAAUUUAUUUAUUAGAUAUAAUUUAUUAUAUAGAAAUAUCUUACUUUUUAGUAUUUUUAAAUGAAUUAAUUAGAUUUAUUUAUAGUUUAUUUAACUGUGAAGGUUAAUAAUUGAUUAGAAAAAAAGUAGAAUUUAAUUUUUGUACCUUUUGUAUCAGGGUUUAUUAAUAUAACUUAUUUAUGAAUAAUUAUCCCGAAAGUAAAAGAUAUAUUUAUAAUUGUAAAUUUAUGUUUUAUAAUAAUUAAAAAAUUAUAAGUAGAUGUUAUAUGCUAUUCAUUUUUAUUAUAUCUGGUUUUUUAAUAAUUGAAUUUAAUUCAGGAAUAUAAUACACUCCAACAGAUCAAUUUAUUUCUUUUGUUGAUUAUAUUCUAAAAUUAUUGGGGAUUAGCUCAUUAAUUUUUCUAUAACUUAUUAUAUGUAUCUAUGACUUAUGUAGGAUUAGAAAUUUUCUUCAUUUAUUUUGUUAUAAUUAUUGUUUUAUUAUAAUUUAUUUAAUAUGAGUUUAGAUUAUUAUUAAAGAUUAUUAUUUAAUUUACAAUUAAUAGUUAUAAUGAUAAAAUUAGUAGAUUUUGAAUAUUAAUAUAUAGUAACUCGGCAAAUUUGUUCUUCACCUGUUUAACAAAAACAUGUCUUGGUGAUUUAAUUAUACUAAGUCUGGCCUGCUCAAUGAUUUUUUUAAAUAGCCGCAGUAUAUUGACUGUGCAAAGGUAGCAUAAUCAUUUGUCUUUUAAUUGAAGGCUUGUAUGAAUGGUUGGAUGAGGGAACGACUUUCUUUAUAUUAGGAAUUGAAUUUAAUUUUUUAGUUAAAAAGCUUAAAUUUAUAAGUGGGACGAGAAGACCCUAUAGAAUUUUAUUUUAUUGUAAUAAUUACUAUUUUAGGGUUUAAUUAUUAAAUGUUACAAUAAAAUUUUGUUGGGGUGAUGGUGAGAUUUUUAUAACUCUCAUAAUUUAUAUUUUUAUUAAUUAGUAUUUUUAAGAUCCUAUUUUAUGGAUAAUUAGUUUAAAUUACCUUAGGGAUAACAGCGUUAUUUCUUCUGAGAGUUCUUAUCGAUGAAGAAGUUUGCGACCUCGAUGUUGGAUUAAAAUUAGAAUUAGGUGUAGCAGCUUAAUUUCUAGGUCUGUUCGACCUUUAAAUUUUUACAUGAUCUGAGUUCAGACCGGCGUGAGCCAGGUCGGUUUCUAUCUUCUUAUGGUUAUUGUAGAUUAGUACGAAAGGACCAUUUACAUCAAAUAUUUUGUUUAUGUUAUUGAAUAAUUUUA